rnacentral:misc_RNA from 1 species
AAGUCGUAACAAGGUUUCCGUAGGUGAACCUGCGGAAGGAUCAUUACUGAAUUUUCUAUUUACAUUGUGAACGCCUGUGGUUGCGAGUUUUGGGUUGUUGUUUGGUGGCUUUUGUUUGUUUUGGUCACCGCUAUGCGGUGGUUGGGGCGAAACAGUCACAGAUGAUCCGGCGCGCAGCCACAAAAACAUUGACAUUGUACACCAUGCAGUCUAAUACAACAACAACAACAAUCAAAAACAACUUUUAACAAGGGAUCUCUUGGCUCUC